rnacentral:rRNA from 1 species
UACGAAGGGUGCAAGCGUUACUCGGAAUUACUGGGCGUAAAGCGUGCGUAGGUGGUUCGUUAAGUCUGUCGUGAAAGCCCCGGGCUCAACCUGGGAAUGGCGAUGGAUACUGGCGGGCUAGAGUGCGGUAGAGGAGAGUGGAAUUCCCGGUGUAGCAGUGAAAUGCGUAGAGAUCGGGAGGAACAUCAGUUGCGAAGGCGGCUCUCUAGUACGGUACUGACGCUGAGACGCGAAAGCGUGGGGAGCGAACAGG